GACGAACGCUGGCGGCGUGCCUAAUACAUGCAAGUCGAGCGGACAGAAGGGAGCUUGCUCCCGGAUGUUAGCGGCGGACGGGUGAGUAACACGUGGGUAACCUGCCUGUAAGACUGGGAUAACUCCGGGAAACCGGAGCUAAUACCGGAUAGUUCCUUGAACCGCAUGGUUCAAGGAUGAAAGACGGUUUCGGCUGUCACUUACAGAUGGACCCGCGGCGCAUUAGCUAGUUGGUGGGGUAAUGGCUCACCAAGGCGACGAUGCGUAGCCGACCUGAGAGGGUGAUCGGCCACACUGGGACUGAGACACGGCCCAGACUCCUACGGGAGGCAGCAGUAGGGAAUCUUCCGCAAUGGACGAAAGUCUGACGGAGCAACGCCGCGUGAGUGAUGAAGGUUUUCGGAUCGUAAAGCUCUGUUGUUAGGGAAGAACAAGUGCGAGAGUAACUGCU
rnacentral:rRNA from 1 species